rnacentral:rRNA from 1 species
GGGCCCGCACAAGCGGUGGAGUAUGUGGUUUAAUUCGAUGCAACGCGAAGAACCUUACCAGGGUUUGACAUCCUGCGAAUCUCUUGGAAACAGGAGAGUGCCUUCGGGAACGCAGUGACAGGUGGUGCAUGGCUGUCGUCAGCUCGUGUCGUGAGAUGUUGGGUUAAGUCCCGCAACGAGCGCAACCCACGUCUUUAGUUGCCAGCAUUUAGUUGGGCACUCUAGAGAGACUGCCGGUGACAAGCCGGAGGAAGGUGGGGAUGACGUCAAGUCCUCAUGGCCCUUACGGGCUGGGCUACACACGUGCUACAAUGGCGGUGACAGUGGGCUGCGAAUCAGCAAUGAUGAGCUAAUCCCUAAAAGCCGUCUCAGUUCGGAUUGUCCUCUGCAACUCGAGGGCAUGAAGUUGGAAUCGCUAGUAAUCG